CCCGCUGAACUUAAGCAUAUCAAUAAGCGGAGGAAAAGAAACUAACAAGGAUUCCCCUAGUAACUGCGAGUGAAGCGGGAAAAGCUCAAAUUUAAAAUCUGGCAGUCUCUGGCUGUCCGAGUUGUAAUCUAGAGAAGCAUUAUCCGCGCUGGACCGUGUACAAGUCUCCUGGAAUGGAGCGUCAUAGAGGGUGAGAAUCCCGUCUUCGACACGGACUGCCAGGGCUUUGUGAUGUGCUCUCAAAGAGUCGAGUUGUUUGGGAAUGCAGCUCAAAAUGGGUGGUGUACUUCAUCUAAAGCUAAAUAUUGGCCAGAGACCGAUAGCGCACAAGUAGAGUGAUCGAAAGAUGAAAAGCACUUUGGAAAGAGAGUUAAACAGUACGUGAAAUUGUUGAAAGGGAAGCGCUUGCAAUCAGACUUGCGCGGCGUCGAUCAACCUGGGUUCUCCCUGGUGCACUCGGCGCUGCUCAGGCCAGCAUCAGUUUCGGCGGUUGGAUAAAGGCCUAGGGAACGUGGGUUACUUCGGUGACUGUUAUAGCCCUAGGUGCAAUGCAGCCUGCUGGGACUGAGGACCGCGCUUCGGCUAGGAUGCUGGCGUAAUGGUUGUAAGCGACCCGUCUUGAAACACGG
rnacentral:rRNA from 1 species